AGCAGCAGCCGCGGUAAUACGGAGGGUGCAAGCGUUAAUCGGAAUUACUGGGCGUAAAGCGCACGCAGGCGGUCUGUCAAGUCGGAUGUGAAAUCCCCGGGCUCAACCUGGGAACUGCAUUCGAAACUGGCAGGCUAGAGUCUUGUAGAGGGGGGUAGAAUUCCAGGUGUAGCGGUGAAAUGCGUAGAGAUCUGGAGGAAUACCGGUGGCGAAGGCGGCCCCCUGGACAAAGACUGACGCUCAGGUGCGAAAGCGUGGGGAGCAAACAGGAUUAGAUACCCCUGUAGUCCCUGUCUCUUAUAC
rnacentral:rRNA from 1 species